CAGUAGCCGCGGGAAUACGGAGGGUGCAAGCGUUAAUCGGAAUUACUGGGCGUAAAGCGCACGCAGGCGGUUUGUUAAGUCAGAUGUGAAAUCCCCGAGCUUAACUUGGGAACUGCAUUUGAAACUGGCAAGCUAGAGUCUUGUAGAGGGGGGUAGAAUUCCAGGUGUAGCGGUGAAAUGCGUAGAGAUCUGGAGGAACAUCAGUGGCGAAGGCGGCCAUCUGGGACAACACUGACGCUGAGGCACGAAAGCGUGGGGAGCAAACAGGAUUAGAGACCCCGGUAGUCCCUGUCUCUUAUAC
rnacentral:rRNA from 1 species